UACGUAGGUGGCGAGCGUUGUCCGGAAUUACUGGGUGUAAAGCGCGUGUAGGCGGGAGGCCAAGUCUGUGGUGAAAUCGCUCGGCUUAACUGGGCGGGGUCCAUGGAAACUGGUCACCUGGAGGUCGGUAGAGGCAAGUGGAAUUCCCGGUGUAGUGGUGAAAUGCGUAGAGAUCGGGAGGAACACCAGUGGCGAAGGCGGCUUGCUGGGCCGGACCUGACACUGAGAGACGAAAGCUAGGGGAGCAAAUGGG
rnacentral:rRNA from 1 species